UGUCAAUUGGGUGGACCGCAUGUG
rnacentral:siRNA from 1 species